rnacentral:rRNA from 1 species
CCUACGGGCGGCUGCAGUGGGGAAUAUUGGGCAAUGGACGCAACUCUGACCCAGCCACGCCGCGUGAAUGAUGAAUGUCCUCGGAUUGUAAAGUCCUUUUCUAAGGGAAGAAGAAAGUGACGGUACCUUAGGAAUAAGCCUCGGCUAACUACGUGCUAUCAGCCGCGGUAAUACGUAGGAGGCAAGCGUUAUCCGGAAUGACUGGGCGUAAAGGGUGCGUAGGUGGUUUGACAAGUUAGUAGCGCAACUCCGGAGCUCAAAUUCGGAACUACUACUAAAACUGGUGGUCUUGAGUGCAGGAGAGGCAAGCGGAAUGCGUGGUGUAGCGGUGGAAUGCGUAGAUAUUAGGAAGAACACCGGUGGCGAAGGCGGAUUGCUGGACUGUAACUGACGCUGAGGCACGAAAGCGUGGGGAGCGAACAGGAUUAGAUACCCCAGUAGUC